UGUCGUAAGAAGCAGGUGAUUGUUCACAGCGGAGGAUCGAAAAGUUUAGCAAGAUAUGCCCAUGAUGUGAAAAAAUCAACUGGAGUAUUGCCAAGUCGAGCCCAGUUGUUUGUCAAGACCCAUAAGAAAAAGGAUGGCACACACUACAAUGAUGAAACGAGAAAGAAAGUGGUUGAGAUGGAGGAACUUUUAACACAGGACACAAAUCCUAUAGAAAUGGGGUCUGGAGGAACUAUGACUUGGAAAUCAG